UGGGAAUCUUCGGCAAUGGGGGCAACCCUGACCGAGCAACGCCGCGUGAGUGAAGAAGGUUUUCGGAUCGUAAAGCUCUGUUGUAAGAGAAGAACGUGUGUGAGAGUGGAAAGUUCACACAGUGACGGUAACUUACCAGAAAGGGACGGCUAACUACGUGCCAGCAGCCGCGGUAAUACGUAGGUCCCGAGCGUUGUCCGGAUUUAUUGGGCGUAAAGCGAGCGCAGGCGGUUUAAUAAGUCUGAAGUUAAAGGCAGUGGCUUAACCAUUGUUCGCUUUGGAAACUGUUAAACUUGAGUGCAGAAGGGGAGAGUGGAAUUCCAUGUGUAGCGGUGAAAUGCGUAGAUAUAUGGAGGAACACCGGUGGCGAAAGCGGCUCUCUGGUCUGUAACUGACGCUGAGGCUCGAAAGCGUGGGGAGCAAACAGGAUUAGAUACCCUGGUAGUCCACGCCGUAAACGAUGAGUGCUAGGUGUUAGGCCCUUUCCGGGGCUUAGUGCCGCAGCUAACGCAUUAAGCACUCCGCCUGGGGAGUACGACCGCAAGGUUG
rnacentral:rRNA from 1 species